UACGAAGGGGGGCGAGCGUUGUUCGGAAUUACUGGGCGUAAAGGGCGCGUAGGCGGCGACUCAAGUUAGAUGUGAAAUCCCUCGGCUUAACCGGGGAACUGCGUCUGAUACUGGAUGGCUUGAGUUUGGGAGAGGGAUGCGGAAUUCCAGGUGUAGCGGUGAAAUGCGUAGAUAUCUGGAGGAACACCGGUGGCGAAGGCGGCAUCCUGGACCAACACUGACACUGAGGAGCGAAAGCCAGGGGAGCAAACAGG
rnacentral:rRNA from 1 species